AAGAGAAUCAAAAAUGGCAGUCCUGCUUAAGUGAAGUUAAAUAUGAAUUCAAGCUCUGAAACUGCAUACAAGAAGUUUCUUUCAUACCCUCUGGUAGCGAAUAAAAUUACCCAGUCCCAUUCUUUGCCUCUGCUCUGAUAUCUCCUUGCUCAGAGAUCUGAAGCGAGGAAGGACACAAACUCAGCCAUAACACCCUGGUUUGGAAGGCCAUAGAGAAGCACCAUCUCUUCAGAAGAGUAACUCCCAUUUUGCUGACCAAUGCCUUUUUCAACACAGGCCUUCCUAAAGUAUAUUCUGAGGGAUGAGGAUUGUUGUUUCGAACAGAAUUAAGUGUAUGUAUACUGGUAAUUGAUGCUGAAUGCACAAGGCUCCCGACAGCUGGUCGCUGGGGUCUGAAUAAACGCAGCCAGUGCCGUGUGGAUCUGGGGGAGGAAGAUGCUCCAUGUAUCCAUAGCCACAGGGGGCUGUGCCACAGGGCCUCUGUGGGCUCCCCAAGCCACCUACCAGCUGGCCACCUCCCAGAGAAGCUGCCUCUGCCCCCUGACACCCACAGGACCCCUGCCCAGGGACAAUACCCUAUUGAGGGGUUUAGGAUGCUGGGAGUACUCACUAGCCUGAUUUCUCUCUUUCCCCUUCUCCGCCUCACUCUCGCCUCUCUGCCCUCUCCAAACCUCUCCCUUUUCUCUAACAGUGUAUUUCCCAGCCAGAGAGCCUUUUGCUACGGUGGGCCCUCUUAUCCUGCCAUCACGCUUCGCUGAGCCUGCUGUCCUGGGAUUGGGGAGAUGCUGAGCUGUAUUCAUUGUGACACAAAGUAAAAGCAGCAGGUUCCCAGCCUCAUGAGCAACAGCAACACUCCAGCAUUUAAUGGACUUAAACCUCUCCUGCAACCCACCUGUUUCUGGGGUAGGUUUCUGGACACCUAUGCUUCCUCUCAGUGUGUCACUGGCUUGUAGCCAAAGCAAUUUUUAAUUCUUACAUCAGCUGUGUAACCCUAUAUAUUCCCUGCUGAGCCAGACUCUGUGUUACUGUUAUUCCAAGGCUUCCACAGAUGCUUCAACUGCCAAUAAAGUAAAUUUUGCAAACACUUUGCAGAGAAAAAGUGGAGGGGAGGGUGAAAGAGAAGAGAGAGUGAAAUGGAAAUCAGCGCUGGUCUGAUUACACAUUGCUUGCUAAUAAGCACAGAGGCUGGAAGUCAGGAAGAGGAAGGAGGGGGGAACCAGGGAUAAUUACAAGGCAGGAGGGAAGCCAGUCCUACAGGCAACACCAAAUGGAGCUCAUAAGCAAACAUCUGCUCUGAGAUGUCUAAGAAGAGAGCGAGGCUUUGUGCAGUUUAAAGAAAGAGGCUGUCUUACAUGUAUUUAAUGUUUCAGACACACUGGGUAAGAGAAAAGUUACGGAG
ensembl:lncRNA